rnacentral:piRNA from 1 species
UAGGAUCUAAAAAUUGUGAUCUUUGGACAG